UGCGAUUAGACACAUUCAAAACAAAUGCUUUUGUUCGGCCAGGACAAAACCUUUCCCUGCUUCUCGGCUCAUUUUCCUCCAACACUGUUGCCAUUGUUUCCCCUCCACUGCCUCUCGUCACUCUCUACUUGUUGGAGUGUUAAUGAGGACAGCGAGCUUUUCUCACUCCAGCGGCUUUCUAACACCUCCUAAUGAGGAAGGAUGGACAUGGAGAGAGAGAAGAACGAGGAGAUACGGACCCGUGGACCCGUGGACUCAUGGACAGGGAGUUUCCCCCUCAAGCUCAUGGAAGCGCUGUGGUUUUCCUAGCGUGGCUCGGGAUGCCGUCUCUACUGCCACAAUAGGAGCAUUGUACUCUAGAAACAUGGGCCACAGAGAGAUGCCAUUGUUUUAUCAGGUAACGUUACCUGCGAUUUGAUCGACGAUAGCGCCUCGUGUUUUUGUAAGAAGAAUCCACAAAUAUAUCAGCGCCUGGUCUUAGGCCACCUCGACUUCCCGAAGGCCUGGCAGUGGCCCACUUAAGCGCCAACUUAAAGAAAGCAGAGAGGCUUUUCAUUUAAGAACUGCAUUCCUGGGAACUACAGAGAGAAAGAAAAAAGAGAGAAAAAAGGAGAGCAGAGGACGUGGAAGAGCUUUGCACGAAACCCUGCCCGUGUUAAGGUGAUACACGGCAUCUGCAGGAAAAGCACUGAUGCCGUGCCAAGGCAUGUCAUUUAAGGUGUCUUCUACAGAAGCACAUAUGAUGCCAUUGAGCUCGGCGAAGCAGGGGUGGGAUUUUUUUUUUUCUUAAGUUCUGCCAGGACUUUGAGGUGGGCUGCUGAUAGAGACCUGUGAAAGGGACUAGGACAGCGAAGAGGCAUGAUACGCAUGAAACCGAAUAGCCUCCAGCGGCAGGUCGACUCUUUCAUUUCUCCACUCGUUUCACAAACUCUUGAGGCGUAAAUGUAAAUCACAGCAAAGAAGCUAGAAAAUCUGCUGCACAGGGCAGAACCUGCUUUGACCUUACAGCACAUUUUUAUAGCAUCAUAGCAGUGCUGAAGAACUCAAAUACCAAUAUAACAUUUUUCAGUUCAUCACCUCCUUGACACUGCUUAGAAAAUUCAUUUCAUAAAUAAGAAAUAAAAGGGGUGACCAUCUCUAAAAAAAAUAAUAAAAAAUGCCACUAAGUGCUGUAAUCCAAUGUCCUAAAAGAAACAAAACACUAUAUGGCCAAAAGUUUGGAGACACAGUAGUUAAACUCAUAGUUGCGAUCAAAACAUUCCAAUCCAGUUUGGUUCCCCCUUUGCUGCUUUAAUAUUAUGGGAAUAUUUGUGGGGAUUUGUCCUUAUUCAUCUAAAAUAGCAUUAGUAAAAUCAGGUACUGAUGUUGGAUAAGGAGGCCUGGAGGUGCAGUGUGUGUUUAAUUAAUUCCAAAGGUGUUCAGUUAGGCUGGGGUCAGGGCUCUGUGCAGGAUAUGAAGGAUUUCUUAAACUUUAGCAACUUAAUGUAACUAAUGCUGGUUUGUGCAUCUUUGUUCUAGUGAAGGGGAAAUUGUAAUGCUACAGCAAACAUUCUAAACAGAUCUUGUCACAACCGAGGUUCAAACCAGGGUUUAGUUGUGAAAAGCAACCAAAAAAAUAAAUAAUUGGGGACAAAGGGUGAAGAAGCUUCCCAAGAAAAUAAACUAGAAAAAAAAGCAAACUAAAUGUCAAACUACAGGGGAAAAGCCGCUCAGGACCCAGACCACGCGCCGCUCAGGACCCAGACCACGCGCCGCUCAGGACCCAGACCACGCGCCGCUCAGGCUUACAAACAGCAUACACAAAGCAGGCUGGGCAAUAACAAUAGCAAAAAGGGGCAACUUAAAAACCCUGGGGCUAAUGAGGCACAGGUGAAAGCAAUGGGGACUAAUGAUAAGAAUGAGAACACAAUGGCAACAUCUGGUGUGGUGAGAAACGAAAGACACACAGAAGAAAAAAGACAAGAAAAGAAAGAAAGAACAGGCCAGAAAAAAAGAGAUUCUUGCUGAUUGUAUACUUUGAUGUUUUGCGGCAACAGUUUAGGAAAAGACCCAAUGUUGUGUAUGAGUAAAUUUGUUCACUAACAAUUGACCUUAUACUGUACAUUAUAGCAGCUAUAAGUGGUAUUUUCUUACAUUCUCUGGAGAUUAGAGAUACUGCAAAUGCACAACAGUUGAAUUAGAUUUGACGGUGGGACGAAACUUAAGGAGCAGCACUGACUGCCAAUUUACAGAGACAUUCAGUCUAAUUGGGAGGAGCCUUAUCAUGCAGUAAGUCAAUCACCAUAAAAUGGGUGGGGUAAAAACUUACUAAACAAACAAACUAAAGGUAGAUGCAGCACAGGCCUGGAAAAGCACUACAACAGAAGAAUGCAACACUGUAGUGAUAUCAGUGGGCACUCAGGUAAUGUGCUAUUUACUUUACUACGAUCUGUUCCAAUACAUUUGCACGCCUAAAAAUGAUGUAACUAUUAGAAAAUGAAAGCUGAAAAUCUGAUGGUCUCUUUUGUUCUUAUGAUCUUUUCAUCUCAAACCCAAAUUUCUCAUGUGUAUAUAAUAAAAUAUUUGGCCAUAUGAAUAUUUUAAUCAAUGAAUGCAUAUGCAUGCAGUUUUCUUUUUAAUUCAUUAGUUCCACUUGUUCCAUUUAUUAGUUCCAUAACUGAAGUUUGGAGAAAGCAGGACCUUUUCUUUACCUGCUUUUUAACUGUGAAGUUUUGGGGAUGCCUGUGAUCACUACAGCCUCAAACUCUUCUUCAUGGAGGAUGUGGAUCAGUGUGUAGGUCCAAAACACUAUUCUGGGCACAAUGUUUGUAAAGUCUGGCCAUUCUCAUCUAAUGUAUCUUGUGUCAAUAAAGUUGUUUCCCUCAGCA